UGCCAGCCGCCGCGGUAAUACGGAGGGUGCAAGCGUUGUUCGGAAUUAUUGGGCGUAAAGCGCGUGUAGGCGGUUCGUUAAGUCUGAUGUGAAGGCCCUCGGCCCAACCGGGGAACUGCAUUGGAUACUGGCAGACUCGAGGAUAGGAGGGGUGAGUGGAACUCCUGGUGGAACGGUGAAAUGUGUAGAUAUCAGGAGGAACACCGGUGGCGAAAGCGGCUCACUGGCCUAUCUCUGACGCUGAGGUGUGAAAGCUAGGGGAGCGAACGGGAUUAGAUA
rnacentral:rRNA from 1 species